rnacentral:rRNA from 1 species
UACGUAGGGGGCGAGCGUUGUCCGGAUUUAUUGGGCGUAAAGAGCGUGUAGGCGGUUCGGUAAGUCUGUCGUGAAAUCCUGAGGCUCAACCUCGGGCGUGCGAUGGAUUCUGCCGGGCUAGAGGAUGGUAGAGGCGAGUGGAAUUCCCGGUGUAGCGGUGAAAUGCGCAGAUAUCGGGAGGAACACCAGUAGCGAAGGCGGCUCGCUGGGCCAUUCCUGGCGCUGAGACGCGAAAGCUAGGGGAGCGAACAGG